UUUCCGUUACACUUGUCAUAAAAACGUGUCUUAACCGUCAGCUACUCUUGUAAUAAACGCUGUGUGUCAAAAAAAAGAAAGAAAAAAAUCCUAAUUCAAUCGACCUAGGGUUUCUCGAUCUCCCAUUCAAUCCUCAACAAAAAUGGACGCCAUAGAUUCCGUCGUCGAUCCUCUCAGAGAAUUCGCUAAAGACAGCGUCCGACUCGUCAAACGCUGCCACAAACCCGAUCAAAAAGAAUUCACAAAGGUGGCGUCUCGUACUGCAAUUGGAUUCGUGGUUAUGGGAUUUGUUGGAUUCUUCGUGAAGUUGAUUUUUAUCCCAAUUAAUAAUAUCAUUGUUGGGGCUUCUUAGGCUGUAUGGAUCAUCAACAAUUAGAAUAUGAAGGCAGUCUGCUUGGAAAUUUGUUUUUAAUGAGAAGCUUAGCUUUUAACUUGCUUAAUUUCCUUUUUGAUAUGUUUGCAAUACUCCAUAGACCAGGUAAUCACAAUAUAAAAAACUUUAUAAUUUUUGUUAA